AGGCUCCUCAAUUCAGAGCACUCCAUGAUUUUGAGCAAAGAAAACUACCUCAGCCUUGUGAAGUGUCUUGAAAUUCCAUUCAGUUCUUACCAAAUGUUAACAAUGAACAUUUACUGUUUCUUACCUGCAUUCCUUACUGUAAUUUUUGGUAAAAGGCCAGAAUACAAAAUCCACUAAAGAUUGAAUUCAUAUUUCAGAGUACACAAUGGAACAAAAGCAGCAGAGAAAAAAAGGAAAGAGCUUCUGAUGAAAAAAUCCCACCCUGCUUGGACACUACAAGGAGCAGAAACCAGACCAAGCUUUUUCUUCAUACUCUUCCUUGCCAGAUUCGGAAUACAUCAGAUAAGAAAACUAAGACACAGGGAUGUGCUGCUACAUGCCUGAGAUCAGACCGAAGGCUGGUAGCUAAGGUAACCAAGCUCCUGAUCCUCUUUGCCAUUAAUAAUCUGAGUAAGCCUGACUCCAACGAAUCUGCUCACGUACUCCUUCAGUAACAUGUACAAAAGGCAAAAAAGCACAGCAACUCAAAACUGGUAUCAGUUCUUAUUUAUCACUAUUUUUCAUCAUUUGC